CCGCGCCUGCUGAAGGAGGCAGCCUUGUCUAGAUGGACGGUUUUGCAGGCAACCCGACAAGGUACCCUCUCGUGAACAGCAAUUUUGCUGAUUCAAAAUUGUUCC
rnacentral:sRNA from 12 species